UGGGGAAUUUUGGACAAUGGGCGAAAGCCUGAUCCAGCAAUGCCGCGUGUGUGAAGAAGGCCUUCGGGUUGUAAAGCACUUUUGUCCGGAAAGAAAUCCUUGGCUCUAAUACAGUCGGGGGAUGACGGUACCGGAAGAAUAAGCACCGGCUAACUACGUGCCAGCAGCCGCGGUAAUACGUAGGGUGCAAGCGUUAAUCGGAAUUACUGGGCGUAAAGCGUGCGCAGGCGGUUUGCUAAGACCGAUGUGAAAUCCCCGGGCUCAACCUGGGAACUGCAUUGGUGACUGGCAGGCUAGAGUAUGGCAGGAGGGGGGUAGAAUUCCACGUGUAGCAGUGAAAUGCGUAGAGAUGUGGAGGAAUACCGAUGGCGAAGGCAGCCCCCUGGGCCAAUACUGACGCUCAUGCACGAAAGCGUGGGGAGCAAACAGGAUUCAGAUACCCUGGUAGUCCACGCCCUAAACGAUGUCAACUAGUUGUUGGGGAUUCAUUUCCUUAGUAACGUAGCUAACGCGUGAAGUUGACCGCCUGGGGAGUACGGUCGCAAGAUUAAAACUCAAAGGAAUUGACGGGGUCAUAGCUGUUUCCU
rnacentral:rRNA from 1 species